rnacentral:Y_RNA from 1 species
UUCUGGUCCAAAUGUGAUGGUGUACAACUAAUUGAUCACAACCAGUUACAGAUUCUUUUUGUUCCUUCUCCACUGCAACUGCUUCACUCGACUAGCCCUAG